ACGCUAGCUACAGGCUUAACACAUGCAAGUCGAGGGGCAGCAUGGUCUUAGCUUGCUAAGGCCGAUGGCGACCGGCGCACGGGUGAGUAACACGUAUCCAACCUGCCGUCUACUCUUGGACAGCCUUCUGAAAGGAAGAUUAAUACAAGAUGGCAUCAUGAGUCCGCAUGUUCACAUGAUUAAAGGUAUUCCGGUAGACGAUGGGGAUGCGUUCCAUUAGAUAGUAGGCGGGGUAACGGCCCACCUAGUCUUCGAUGGAUAGGGGUUCUGAGAGGAAGGUCCCCCACAUUGGAACUGAGACACGGUCCAAACUCCUACGGGAGGCAGCAGUGAGGAAUAUUGGUCAAUGGGCGAGAGCCUGAACCAGCCAAGUAGCGUGAAGGAUGACUGCCCUAUGGGUUGUAAACUUCUUUUAUAAAGGAAUAAAGUCGGGUAUGGAUACCCGUUUGCAUGUACUUUAUGAAUAAGGAUCGGCUAACUCCGUGCCAGCAGCCGCGGUAAUACGGAGGAUCCGAGCGUUAUCCGGAUUUAUUGGGUUUAAAGGGAGCGUAGAUGGAUGUUUAAGUCAGUUGUGAAAGUUUGCGGCUCAACCGUAAAAUUGCAGUUGAUACUGGAUAUCUUGAGUGCAGUUGAGGCAGGCGGAAUUCGUGGUGUAGCGGUGAAAUGCUUAGAUAUCACGAAGAACUCCGAUUGCGAGGGCAGCCUGCUAAGCUGCAACUGACAUUGAGGCUCGAAAGUGUGGGUAUCAAACAGGAUUAGAUACCCUGGUAGUCCACACGGUAAACGAUGAAUACUCGCUGUUUGCGAUAUACUGCAAGCGGCCAAGCGAAAGCGUUAAGUAUUCCACCUGGGGAGUACGCCGGCAACGGUGAAACUCAAAGGAAUUGACGGGGGCCCGCACAAGCGGAGGAACAUGUGGUUUAAUUCGAUGAUACGCGAGGAACCUUACCCGGGCUUAAAUUGCAGAUGAAUUACGGUGAAAGCCGUAAGCCGCAAGGCAUCUGUGAAGGUGCUGCAUGGUUGUCGUCAGCUCGUGCCGUGAGGUGUCGGCUUAAGUGCCAUAACGAGCGCAACCCUUGUUGUCAGUUACUAACAGGUUCCGCUGAGGACUCUGACAAGACUGCCAUCGUAAGAUGUGAGGAAGGUGGGGAUGACGUCAAAUCAGCACGGCCCUUACGUCCGGGGCUACACACGUGUUACAAUGGGGGGUACAGAGGGCCGCUACCACGCGAGUGGAUGCCAAUCCCCAAAACCUCUCUCAGUUCGGACUGGAGUCUGCAACCCGACUCCACGAAGCUGGAUUCGCUAGUAAUCGCGCAUCAGCCACGGCGCGGUGAAUACGUUCCCGGGCCUUGUACACACCGCCCGUCAAGCCAUGGGAGCCGGGGGUACCUGAAGUGCGUAACCGCGAGGAGCGCCCUAGGGUAAAACUGG
rnacentral:rRNA from 1 species